GCGCCUGUAGCUCAGCCGGAUAGAGCAACGGCCUUCUAAGCCGUGGGUCGGGGGUUCGAAUCCCUCCAGGCGCGCCA
rnacentral:tRNA from 1 species